rnacentral:rRNA from 1 species
ACGCGUGGAACCUUACCAGGUCUUGACAUCCCGGUGACCGCUCUGGAGACAGAGUUUUCCCUUCGGGGACACCGGUGACAGGUGGUGCAUGGUUGUCGUCAGCUCGUGUCGUGAGAUGUUGGGUUAAGUCCCGCAACGAGCGCAACCCUUGAUCUUAGUUGCCAGCAUUUAGUUGGGCACUCUAAGGUGACUGCCGGUGACAAACCGGAGGAAGGUGGGGAUGACGUCAAAUCAUCAUGCCCCUUAUGACCUGGGCUACACACGUGCUACAAUGGAUGGUACAAAGGGCUGCAAGACCGCGAGGUUAAGCGAAUCCCAUAAAACCAUUCUCAGUUCGGAUUGUAGGCUGCAACUCGCCUACAUGAAGCUGGAAUCGCUAGUAAUCGCGGAUCAGCAUGCCGCGGUGAAUACGUUCCCGGGCCUUGCACACACCGCCCGU